UGGUUCUGGCAUCGAUGAAGAACGCAGCGAAAUGCGAUAAGUAAUGUGAAUUGCAGAAUUCAGUGAAUCAUCGAAUCUUUGAACGCACAUUGCGCCCCCUGGUAUUCCGGGGGGCAUGCCUGUUCGAGCGUCAUUUCAACCAAACCAGCCCCGCUGGGUGUUGGGCGUCGCGGUCCGCCGCGCGCCUCAAAGUCUUCGGCGGAAGCCGCCCGUUCCUCUGCGUGAUGCAUCGUCGUCGCUCGGGACACGGGGGUGAGCGCCCGGAAAUCGUCGGCGGAGACGCCGACUUCAGGUUGACCUCGGAUCAGGUAGGGAUACCCGCUGA
rnacentral:misc_RNA from 1 species